rnacentral:rRNA from 1 species
GAUGAACGCUGGCGGCGUGCCUAAUACAUGCAAGUCGAGCGAACAGAUAAGGAGCUUGCUCCUUUGACGUUAGCGGCGGACGGGUGAGUAACACGUGGAUAACCUACCUAUAAGACUGGGAUAACUUCGGGAAACCGGAGCUAAUACCGGAUAACAUAUUGAACCGCAUGGUUCAAUAGUGAAAGGCGGCUUUGCUGUCACUUAUAGAUGGAUCCGCGCCGUAUUAGCUAGUUGGUAAGGUAACGGCUUACCAAGGCAACGAUACGUAGCCGACCUGAGAGGGUGAUCGGCCACACUGGAACUGAGACACGGUCCAGACUCCUACGGGAGGCGGCAGUAGGGAAUCUUCCGCAAUGGGCGAAAGCCUGACGGAGCAACGCCGCGUGAGUGAUGAAGGUCUUCGGAUCGUAAAACUCUGUUAUCAGGGAAGAACAAAUGUGUAAGUAACUGUGCACAUCUUGACGGUACCUGAUCAGAAAGCCACGGCUAACUACGUG